GCCUGAUUAGCAUAGUGGUUAUUGCGUUGCACUUGUAAUGCAAAGGUCACUGGUUCGACUCCAGUAUCAGGCA